rnacentral:rRNA from 1 species
CUGGCCUAUUUAGGGGAGCGCUACCCCCCAGUUGUUGUCUCGCUAGCAAAACAGGCCCGAGAAAUAACGUGAUAACGAGCGACCGAGACGAUUUUUUCGGGAAUCCUGGCCCAUAUCAAAGUAGGAGUACCUCACGUUUCCGUGAGAUGGAGAUUUAUUGGUGGGGCGGUGCCCUGGCCUGCGGAAUCCGUGUUAGGUCAGUUACUUGACCCUUCCGCCGGCGCCGACGCAAUUCCCCGCCUCGCCCUGUUCGAUCCAAAUCGAGCCGUACUCGCGAGAGCGAGAUCCAAAUCGAGAUUUCUCGACCCUAGGUCUCGUCGAACCAUGGGUCAGCUGAUGCUCAAUCGGGUGAUAUCGAUGCAGCGGGAAAGUCGUCGCCUGCAAAUACAACCCCAUAGUAAGUGACCGCCUCGUUGUUAUUUUCAUCAGGCACAAGACCAGGUAAGGCAAGUAGAUUCUUGUAGGUUGAUCUAGUCUAGUGUCUAUUUGAGCGUAAAAUUUUGAUUUUUUUUCAUAGAGAAAACUGUUUGGGUGAGCUAAGGUUUCUAUGGUACUCCCUCCGUCCCAUAAUAUAAGAGCGUUUUUGACACUACACUAGUGUAAAAAACACUCUUAUAUUAUGGGACGGAGGGAGUAGUAUAGAAGGAUUUUGUGGAUCGAUUUGGGUAAAGAUCAAAUUUUUGUGUGUGUUGUUCAUAUGUACUCCCUCUGUAAAGAAAUAUAAGAUCAUUUAGAUCACUACUUUAGCGAUCUAAAUGAUCUUAUAUUUCUUUACUGACGGAGUACCCGAGUUAUGAAAAAUUUGCUAUAACAUCAGUGUAGCCACUCAAAUAUUACAUAGUAAGCAUACAUUGGAUUUGAAGAGGCCCCAUUUGUCUUCCAUGCUAAAGUUGGCAGGUGGCUGCCGUGCUUAGGCUGUAUGGGGUCUGAGACGAUCCUUGACAAUACAACAGAGGGGAACUCAAGUCGACUGUCUAUGCACCCUCUGGAUAAUGUGUUCCCCUGUCUUGUUUUAUUUGUUUGAGCAUCCUCAACGAUAUACUUGGGUGGUAUUGCAAUCUUCUAUAACUUUCCACCUGUAAUCAUAUGUAUUAUGUAUUGCGGAUGGACCAGCUGAUUCAAUGGUUGACAGAAAGGACUCAACCUGCAAACAAGACCAUUGUUCCCAAGGUGGUGAAAUACAAUACCCUGGGCCACAUCUUCCAGAGGAUAUUUGGUGUCAUAUAUAUUCCCUACUGCCAAUGCGAGAUGCUGCUCGAGCUGCUUGUGUGUCUCAUGCAUUUAAACGUUCUUGGAGAUGCUAUCCGAACCUUGCUUUCAAUAUGAUAACAUUGGGCAUUGAUAUAGAAUCAUGUGGAGAGGACGGAAUAGCAAGAAAUUUUACCAACAAAGUUGACCACAUUUUGAAAAACCGCCCAUGCAUUGCCACCAAGACGCUCGAGAUUGUUUUCCGUUACUACAAUGCCAAAGUCUGUAACAUUGAUAGCUGGUUUCAGGCUGCUGUUACACCGGGGAUUGAAGAACUCACUAUAGAACUAUCUUCAAAGUCAGGAAGAUAUUACAACUUUCCGUGGUCACUUUUAGCCAAUGAGAGUGGAAACUCGAUUCGGUAUCUAAAUCUUGCCCGUUGUGCUUUCUCUCCGACUGACGAGUUGUGCUUUAAAAGCUUGUCAAGACUCGAGCUAAGCGAUGUUGCUAUUACGGGGGACCAGUUGGGAUCCAUUCUUCACAAUUCUUUUGCUUUGCAACGGAUGCAACUAAAGUUUUGCAAUAAGAUAAUUUGCUUGAAGAUACCUUUUCAUCUACAACAGCUCAGAUAUCUGGACGUGUUUGAUGGCGGCAGCUCGCUGCGGGUUAUAGAGCUAUGUUUGUGCUGAUUUUCUGUCCAGCUUGCGAUAUGUUGAAGAUCUUUCCCUAGGUUCACGUUGUGAGAUGAUUGAUACACCAGUUCUACAUAGCAAAUUCCUGCAUCUCAAGCACUUGAAUGUUGAUCUUCAAGCAAUGACAUUUUCCCCGACCUACGACUAUUGUUCUUUGAUAUCACUUUUUGAUGCUUCUCCUUUCUUGGAGACCCUUGUCAUGAAUGUGUUGCAGCAAAAGAUGUUGCACGAGUCAAUCGUGGGAGAUGCAUCACAUUUGAGGCAGAUGCCAGGACACCACCAUGAUAGCCUCAAGACAGUGAAGAUCAUUGGUUUCUCCUCUGCGAAGAGCUUAGUAGAGCUAACAUGCCAUAUCAUUGAGAAUACGAGCUCACUUGAGAGCCUUACAUUGAACACCACAACAGGACAUCCUUUCGACAGCUGUUUAACCAACAAUACUGGAAAGUGCAACCUGUUGGGCGUGGAUUUUAUGGUGGAAGUUGGUAGAGGGCUCUUGGCUAUCAGGACAUAUGUUGAGCCAAAAGUUCCCUCCGGAGUUGAGCUAAAUGUUGUGGAGCCUUGCCGCCGAUGCCAUGAUCAACCACCGCCGAUGCCAUGAUUCCUGUGUAAAAGUUCCCGCAAGACAUCAUAAGUACCCUAUGAUUCCUGUGUAAAAGUUAAACUAGAACGUCGAGGAACCUUCUGCUGCUGCUACCCGGGUUAUAUACCCAAAACCCAAUAUUUAAUGUAACUAGUAGGCUGUGUGUUGCGACGUACCCUUUGCUGUUUGGGUAGCCAGUUUUUAGAGAAAAUCCAAUUUCUAUUAUAACA